rnacentral:pre_miRNA from 10 species
GUGGGUACGGCCCAGUGGGGGGGAGAGGGACACGCCCUGGGCUCUGCCCAGGGUGCAGCCGGACUGACUGAGCCCCUGUGCCGCCCCCAG